GCGGACGUGGCGGAAUGGUAGACGCGCUGUCUUGGAAAGGUAGUGGGCUUGUUCCGUGAGGGUUCGACUCCCUCCGUCCGCACCA
rnacentral:tRNA from 1 species